GGAGACACUGGUCACAGACUUGCCUGACUGGGUAACUGAGAUGGGACCCAGCAGUGAGCAACUUUCCGAGUUCUUCACUGCGGAGUCCUGUCUGGAAAGUGGCUGGAUCUCCAGGGUGGCCUGGAUUAUGAAAAACUAUCCACAGAGAGAACAUGGGAGAAAAGCUAUAACAAAGACCAAAGAACACAUCACACUUUACCAUCCAAACACCCAUCCACUUCCUGGGAUUGCUCAGUAAAAUCCCUGGCACUCUGGAAAAGGCCAAGACCAAGCAAAGACACAUCACAUUUGUCCUGACUGAAGUUGACCUCCUUGACUCCCUCUCCUCUGGACCUGUUCCUCCCACUAUGCUCCUGUCUCAUGGAAGACUCCAUCAGCUACUUCCAUGCUCACACAUGGGCCUGCCCUUCAACUCUCUCCCCCACCAAUCAAUCAGCCAAUCAAUCAAUCAUCAAGUUCUGUCUGUUUCACCUGCUGAAGACUUCCCCAUCCAUCCCUCCAUCCCUCCAUCCCUCCCUCCAUCCAUCCAUCCAUUCAUCCAUCCAUUAAUGAUACACCCACUUUUCUCCAGCCCACUGCUGCUGCCUUCACCCAGGCUGCCAGCACCUCCCCGCCUGGUGGCUGAGAUGGUCUCCUUACUGAUUUAUUGCUCUGCCGACCAGCCUCAGCUCACUAUCCCAACUCUACUCCCAUUCAUAGCCACAGUGGUUCUUUUGCAAUAUUGACUAGAUCAUGGUACUUCCUUGCUUACAACCAUUCAAAGGCCCUGUGGAGUUUAAAUCCUGAAGGGCAUGAUAUAACUGGACCCUUUGAGACUCAUCUCUUGCCAUUUUCAAUGUAAUUGCUUGUGCUGAGUCCUGUCUUCUCUCACCCUUUGCAUUUGCUAUCUUCUCUGUUGAGUGCUGACUCCACCACUGGCUACCUCCUUCUCCUCAGUUACUCAGAACUAAACUUUUAAGAGUACGUCCUCCAGGAAGCUUUCCCAGACCUUCCCUCCUCUGUCCUUCCAUAGCCUGCACCCAUUAUAGCUAAUGGGACCAUGAAAUCUGUUGUCAAAACUAGGACACCUAUGGAAGUGAAAGGGGGUGCUUGUACCUAUUAUGCAUGGACAACAGGUGUAAGCUAGGACUGACCCAGGCAAACCAGGGUGUAUGGUCACCUUAACCAUGGUAUUUAUUGCACUUUCCAAUUGCUUCCUAACUGGCCAGGGCUCCCCAUAACCUACCUGGCAGACUGCAAUUUCCCAGUUUUCAAUGUAGUUGCUUCCAUAGUGGGUAUUCAAUAUUUACUUGUACAUACAUGUGUAAAUGUAUGUAUGGCCUUACUGUCUAAUGGAGCUGGGUCUUGCUCUCUGAAAAAUCCCUUAGCCAUCACUAAUAGUACAGAAAAGGUGUGUACUAGAUUACCUAUCCAGCACCUCCAAAAUCCUGAAUUCUAAAGCACAUCUGGCUGAAAUAAAGCUGAUGGGUUGGUGCCCAAAGCGUGUUUCAUGGCAGAUAAGCACAUUAGAGUGUUAAGACAUAUUACAGGAUAAAUGGGUUCUGGGCCCAAAUAAGUCAUGGAAAUUAAGUUUAUACUUUUAUUGCAAAGAUCCUUUAAACACUGUGAAGUAAGUAGUGUUUCUCAAAUUUAGAGAGAACACAGAACCCAUCCCCCUUUCCUAUCCCGUAUCCUAGACUUCAUGUUCUGUGAAACCUACUUUGAGAAUCAGUAAAAUCAUAUUGCCCAGCCACCUCCAGGUACAACAGGUAAAAGUUUUGAGUCCCUAAAGAUCAGGGAUGUAUUUAUUUCUUCCUAUUUCCUAGACCAGGGCCUGGCAUACAGUCAAUGCUAAAUAACUGUUUGUUGCAUGUGGGCUGGUGUGUCAUGCAUUCAGCUGAGGACAGAAGAGCGCAGGGCAAGGGGGCCAUCCAGCCCUGCCAUACCAGCACUGCGGGUGACAGGAACAGGGAAGAUGCUGACUUGCCUGAAAAUGACAUGGGAAACGAUGAGGUUGGAGAAACUUCUCUUUGACACCCUGUCCCCCUGCUGCUGAGCAGUGUCCUCCUUGGCCUCCCCCUGUUCUGACCCCAUCUCCCAGAGUCCACUCAUGUAGGAUAUGGCUGUCUGCGUCUCUUCACCAAAGUACUAAGCUGAUGAGGCUUAGUCUCAAACAGCAGUUUACUCAGCUGCUUCCUGCUUACUAACACCCGUCUGGCCCCAAGGGAGAGCAGCUGGAGUGGCAGAAGACUGGGGGGCAGGGCUUAUUUUGAGCAGGAUCUUGCCCCUCUCCCUCCACCAUCAUAUUUCUCACUUAACCCAUUUGUGAGACUGGCCUGAUCUUGUACUAAAGCCAGAUGUUCUCCCCUUCACCCAAAGAGGACCUCACAGAUCAGCAUUCAGAAAAGAGGAGGCCCUCAGUCUUGAAACAUCAGGAAAGAAAAGCACAAACCCAACUUAAAACUACCCAAUAAUGGAGGAAAAAGAUGGCAAGCAGAAGUUAAAUCCAGCCGGUAGAGCAUGUUCAAAAAGUCUGUCCUGAAGAAUUUUUUGCAGUAACUGAUUUAUUUUUCUUCUUAGAUAUUAUUCCUUCUUUCAGAUUAAUUAUUUAGUAGAGAAUGACAAAGCUCCAUGAAGCUACAAGCUGACUCUCUUUUUUUCCCACUGUCCCUUUCCCAUCUAAAAGGUUGGGAGGGGGGAAAUUCCGGAAACACCACAGUGAAAUUUUUCAUUUGAGCCAAUGUGAGCUGUGAGUGAGUCCAGCUGGAGGGCCUGUCACCCGCAUUGCCGCUCUAAGCCAGUGGAAGGGCGCCCAAGGUGACUCUCACUCAUGGUCCUUUGCUCCUUCAAAGAAGACCUAUCCUUCUGGCUCCUUCUUGGCCUAACCUGCUGCUCCAGCAGGAACAGCAAGCAUGAGCCAGGGGUUUAGAAGCAGCAGAAGCCUCUGCAAUGACACAGGGCCAACGGCCUUCCAUUUGGCUUAGAAGCUCCUGCACCGGGUCUGGCAAGGUAUGCAACUGCCAUGAGAUGAAUAAGGGCAAUGUGCAGCCUCAUUGCUUCAGGUCAGGUUUUACCUCCCAGUAAGUUCAGUCUGGGCAGACUUUGUCACCAAAUAAAUUAGCAAGUGCUUUUGGGUUUUAAGCAGUUUAAAUACUGAAUGACUGAUGACAGCUUGUG